UCCCUCCCCUUUCGGCAAAAACCCCAACGCCGAGCAGAGCCGUCCCCCUUCCCCACCCAACCACGGCCCCGUCCCGUACCCAACCCCAGCGAAAACCCUAGCCGGAGCAUCCACCCGAUGUCUCUCGGCAGGCCCUACCGCGGCAAUGCCGCCGCAGGCGGCGAUGAUCGACGCGCUGCGCCGCUCGGCAACCGGCGGGGCCAAUCCGCCGCCGCCGGCGGCGGCGGCGCGGCGCUGCCCGGCUCCCUCGGCCUCGGGAGCUUCCCGCGGCACGACCUCCCCGCCCCACCCGACGGGCUCGACCUCAACGCCGUCGUCGCGCCGCCGGUGAGCCAAGUUGCCCCAGCCCCAGCUCGUCCUUCCCAUGCCUGUGUACAAAAACUCCGAGAUCGUGUCCGUACCUUGGAGACUGCAUUUUCUGACGCGGAUAGGAUUUUAAGGGAUAUUCAAGGUGAAAUACAACAGAUGAGGGAGGAGGGGCAUGAGAAAGACAGGCAAAUCCGAUCUAUCGUUGAAGAUUCAGAGAAGGAACGUCGGUCAAGGCACAUUAGAAUCAAGCAAUUCGACCAUGAUAAAGAGCUGAUGCGUGGCACCCUUCAGGGAUACAAAGAAAAACUUAAGAAGUCUUCUGAUGCAUUUCUGGAGUAUCAGAGGAUGUGUGAAGGAAGUGGCGUGUCAUCUUCGGGUGUUAUGGCUGAUGAGCAAAAUCGUAUUCUUAUGAUGGAGAAGCAAUCAUGCGUAGAUAACAUUACUUGGUUUCGGAAAUAUAUGCUAUCGAGGUUUGGAGAAUGUGCUGAUGAGAUUGCAAUACUGGCAACAAGGACUGCAUACCUCAACAAUGAACUUCAAAGGCUGAAUGAUUAUAUACAAAUUCCAGAUCUCAACAAUGGGGGUCCUCAACUGUGAAUUCUACAUUGGAGACUACAAGGGUGAUGCAGGUGGCCAUUGAAGCUUUUGCCAUGAAGGAUGGGAACUGAAGAUGAGGAGGAUUGCAUAUAUUUUGGUGUUGCUGACAUAACCAAGAUGCCGCAACAUGGUGCCUUAAGUAUUAUUAGUUCUGUAGCCUGUACCCGCAUACCGUGCUAUGUAAAGCCUAUUAUCAAAGACUCAAAAUAGAUGAUUUUGGACUGAAUGGAGGCUUUGACAAAUUAUCGUCAUUUGAAUGGGUAUAUCUGAUGUAGAUUACUCCAGUCCUCCCAAGAAAAGAUUGAAGCACAGCAGUUCAAAUGGGAAUGAUCGUUAUGAAGGGAAACAAGAAACACUAAGAGACUUCUCCUUUUCUUUUGAUAUUUGUGAGUAAGUUACACUGGCUUGUGGAGUGGUAGAUGUUUUUCUCAUAACUUCACGCAGUUAGUUGAUUGUGUUUAUUUUUGUUCUUAAAAGGCUGAGCAAGUUCAAUCUUCAAGUGAUGUUUGGAUUUGAGGAAAAUGAUAUGAGUAGACUUA